rnacentral:rRNA from 1 species
AUUGAACGCUGGCGGCACGCUUAACACAUGCAAGUCGAACGGUAACGGGCCUAAGAUUUAUCUUAGGUGCUGACGAGUGGCGGACGGGUGAGUAAUGCGCAGGAAUCUAGCUUAGAGAGGGGGAUACCUAGGGGAAACCCGAGUUAAACCCGCGUAAAUCCGAGAGGAGAGAUGACGAGAGUCAGCUCUAAGAUGAGCCUGCGUUAGAUUAGCUAGUUGGUGGGGUAAAGGCCUACCGAGGCUGUGAUCUAUAGUUGGUCUGAGAGGACGAGCAACCACACUGGGACUGAGAUACGGCCCAGACUCUUACGGGAGGCAGCAGUGGGGAAUAUUGGACAAUGGGGGGAACCCUGAUCCAGCGAUGCCGCGUGUGUGAAGAAGGCCUUUGGGUUGUAAAGCACUUUUUUUGGUGAGGAAGGCUUGCUUAGGUGAGUUUGACGUUAACCGAAGAAUAAGCACCGGCUAACUCUG